rnacentral:rRNA from 1 species
UGAGGAAUAUUGGUCAAUGGACGAGAGUCUGAACCAGCCAAGUAGCGUGCAGGAAGACGGCCCUAUGGGUUGUAAACUGCUUUUAUAAGGGAAUAAAGUUAGUCUCGUGAGACUUUUUGCAUGUACCUUAUGAAUAAGGACCGGCUAAUUCCGUGCCAGCAGCCGCGGUAAUACGGAAGGUCCGGGCGUUAUCCGGAUUUAUUGGGUUUAAAGGGAGCGUAGGCCGGAGAUUAAGCGUGUUGUGAAAUGUGGACGCUCAACGUCUGCACUGCAGCGCGAACUGGUUUCCUUGAGUACGCACAAAGUGGGCGGAAUUCGUGGUGUAGCGGUGAAAUGCUUAGAUAUCACGAAGAACUCCGAUUGCGAAGGCAGCUCACUGGAGCGCAACUGACGCUGAAGCUCGAAAGUGCGGGUAUCGAACAGGAUUAGAUACCCUGGUAGUCCGCACGGUAAACGAUGGAUGCCCGCUGUUGGUCUGAAUAGGUCAGCGGCCAAGCGAAAGCAUUAAGCAUCCCACCUGGGGAGUACGCCGGCAACGGUGAAACUCAAAGGAAUUGACGGGGGCCCGCACAAGCGGAGGAACAUGUGGUUUAAUUCGAUGAUACGCGAGGAACCUUACCCGGGCUUGAAUUGCAGAGGAAGGAUUUGGAGACAAUGACGCCCUUCGGGGCCUCUGUGAAGGUGCUGCAUGGUUGUCGUCAGCUCGUGCCGUGAGGUGUCGGCUUAAGUGCCAUAACGAGCGCAACCCCUCUCCUUAGUUGCCAUCAGGUUAAGCUGGGCACUCUGGGGACACUGCCACCGUAAGGUGUGAGGAAGGUGGGGAUGACGUCAAAUCAGCACGGCCCUUACGUCCGGGGCUACACACGUGUUACAAUGGCAGGUACAGAGAGAGGGUUGUACGUAAGUGCGAUCAAAUCCUUAAAGCCUGUCUCAGUUCGGACUGGGGUCUGCAACCCGACCCCACGAAGCUGGAUUCGCUAGUAAUCGCGCAUCAGCCAUGGCGCGGUGAAUACGUUCCC